AGGCUGGUCAAUCAGGAAGUGACUGUAUGGCGAGGCAGCUGCACUUCCUGUCCCACACUUCUUCUACUUCAAAGAACAACCAGACAGCAAAUCCAUGGAAGCUUUGAAACUUCUUGUUACUCACUGACAACAAUCCACAGCCUUUCUGCUCGUGCCUUUUCAAGAAGUGUGAUCAGGAUAAUGACAACACCAUCACUGAUUAAGGAUGUUGCAUCACUCCCGGCUUCAGCUCUCCGAAGGCAUCAAUGAUCAAGCCUGGAAAGAAGGACACACUUUAUCUUCUAGUCCAGUCUGGAGAUCUGGCUUUGAAGCUCAUGUGAUUUAGUCCUUCUCAAAUAGUGCUGUGUGUGACGUGCUUUAUCAGUAUCAUGCACAAUAUUGCUUUAUCUGUAUCAUAUGGAUAAAGAUAAGACCUUCUGGAGGAAUGUUCUGUAGUCAGGUGGUGAAAAAUGUGCACAGAAGCGUGUGGAUGGCUAGCAGAAGCACCUUAUUGCAGGUAAACUUGCCAAAGAACAUGGAAGCAAAUAUGAACACUGCUGUACUUAUACUUUUGAUGGCUCACAUCUUCAGGAGAGACAGAAUAAAUUCAUAA